AUGUAUUCAAGGACACUUCUGUCCCGUAGGGUCCUCGUCCCCAUGAGCCUUGUCCAGCAGGCCACUACAGUAACAGCAGCAAGAACACUGAGCUGUCUGACUGUCUGCCUUGUCCUCCAGGAUUUGCUUGUUCCAGUAGGGGGCUCUCCUCCCCUUCUCAUGUGUGCCAGAUGGGCUGCUACUGCCCACAGGGUCAAAAUUCCAGCCAGCCUGCCCACUUCAUCUGCUCACCUGGGUAUAUGUGUCCACCUGCCAGCCCUGUCCAGAUUCCCUGUCCGUUUGGGACAUAGCAGAACCUCCAGGGGCAGAUUGUGAAGAACCUGGGGCUUGUUCAGUGGAAGAGGUCUUUUCUCAGAUUCAGUUCAUUGGGAAUGUCUGUCCUGCAGCUCACUACUGCCCAGUUGGCAGUGCACAACCAGAACCCUGUCCGCCAGGUAGAGUUUAACCAAGUAUUUACCCCAAAAUGAAAAUUCUGACAUCACUUACUAACCCUCAUGUCAUUUCAAACCUGCAUGG
ensembl:lncRNA